GACGAACGCUGGCGGCGUGCUUAACACAUGCAAGUCGAACGGUGAAGCGCCUUCCUUUUUGGUGGGUGUGGAUGAGUGGCGAACGGGUGAGUAACACGUGAGUAACCUGCCCCCUUCUUCUGGAUAACCGCAUGAAAGUGUGGCUAAUACGGGAUAUUCUGGGUCUGUCGCAUGAUGGGUCUGGGAAAGAUAUUGUUUCGGUGGGGGAUGGGCUCGCGGCCUAUCAGCUUGUUGGUGGGGUGAUGGCCUACCAAGGCGGUGACGGGUAGCCGGCCUGGGAGGGUGGACGGUCACACUGGGACUGGGACACGGCCCGGACUCCUACGGGAGGCAGCAGUGGGGAAUAUUGCACAAUGGGCGCAAGCCUGAUGCAGCGACGCCGCGUGAGGGAUGGAGGCCUUCGGGUUGUGAACCUCUUUCGCCAGUGAAGCAGGCCUGCCUCGUUUGUGGGUGGGUUGACGGUAGCUGGAUAAGAAGCGCCGGCUAACUACGUG
rnacentral:rRNA from 1 species